UGUUGUCAUUUUUUAUACUAGUUUAUGCCCGCGACUUUCGUCCGCGCGGACUACACAAAUCUCAAAGCCCUGUUUUACCCUCUUAGGGAUUGAAUUUUCAAAAUUCCUUUCUUAGCGCGUGUCUCCGUCAUAAUACCUACCUACAUGCCAAACAGCCCGAUGCGUCCAGUAGUUUGAACUGUGCAUUG